rnacentral:lncRNA from 1 species
CCAUACUCAGUAUGAUAAUCAUGUUUCUAUUUAUUUUUUGCCAAUCUGAUACACUCAAAAUAGUAUUCUUAAUUUUAUUUUUAUUUCUUUAAUUAAGUUUAUUUGGAAGGUUGGGCAGUAUUUUUGCAAAUUUUUAUUGGUAGUUUUUUUGUGACUGGGCUGACACAUCCUGUGGGUUACAUUUUGAUUUAAAUGAGUAAACAGGAAAAAUCUACAAACAGAAAAGAAGUCAAGUUCUUUCAAUAUGACCACUGACCAGUGUUACUAAUAGGAAAUUACUACUGAAAAUACAAGUUGUACCCUUUAUAAUGUGUACAAAUGCAACAAAAUCUUGCAGCUGUUUUGCAUAAUUCUUCCCUAUCAGUUUUAUUUGUAGAGAUCUAUUUCUAUGCACAAUUUUAAAAGUAAAACAAAAAACUACAUUUGCCAAAUUAUCAUGUAUACUAAUAUCAUCAUGACACUAAAUUGCCUCUUGAAGCAAAAUUGAUUUAAUAAACCAAUAAAGAUGCAACAGAUGCAUUCAAUUCAACAGAUUUUAGAAGUCUAAGUUCUUGCUAAACUUAUUCUAAAUAAAUUCCUAAAACUGACACAAUAUGGCAAUCUGAUGACACAUCAUCAGUUUUUGAUUGAUAUUGAGUUAAUGCUAAUAAACAACAAUCCAGUUUCCAACUAAUUAAUAGGUCCAAAAAUGUUAUGAAGUUUUAACCCAGUGGUGUAUACAUAAGUGAAACCCUUGAAAAUGUGUAGUUUAAUUAUGAAACUGCUACCACAAGUGUCCUUAUUAUGGAAUUUUGAGAAAAUUAUAAUUGGAUGAAUAGAAAAGUGUUAUCACUGAGUUAACCUUGAAUUAUUUUUGUUCGUGUGUGUGUGUAUGUCUGUGUGUGUGUGAGAGAGAGAUCUGUAUUAAGGCAUAUAUGGGUAUUAAAUAUAUGCAGUUAGUUUCUAGCAGAAUUUCUUAGCACUAAUGUCUCCUUAAAUAUAAAUUUAACAGUUUUUUUCCUUAGUCUUUGUUAUAAUAUUUCUUCUUCUCUUCCUCAAUUCCAACUUUGAAAAUCUUGUGGUUUACUAGUGCCUUUGAGGAAUCCUACAAUAGUGGCUACAAGCUCAGAUCCUGGGAUCAGACAACUCCUGUGUUCCACAUGAUUUCAUCAAGUACUAGCUGCAAGAAAUCAAACAAAAUCUUUAACCUAUACAAGUCUUCACUUUUCUUCCUUAUAAAAUGUUAAUGUUUACUACCUCACAAAAUUGUUGUGAAGAUGUAAACACAUAAAAGAUGCAAAAUAUAUCCCUUUUUUCAGGGACGACCACCCUACCUAGCCAUUCAAACCAUCAAUAAAGCCAAGAGUCAUUCCAGACAUCUUCCUUCUGCAGCACAAUCCCUAACAUUGCAGAGUCCUGUCAAUUCAUGUCCCAUUACUUCCAGGAUAAAAUCCAAACUCCUCAGUAAGGCCCCAAAGGUCUCCUGUCACCUGACUUAUGGUUACUUUCUAGCUCUAGGAAUUGUUUUCUUCUAUUCCAUCCUUGUACACUCUUCAUACCCGUCAUACCUAUCUACCUGCUGGUUUCAAAACAUGCUGAGCUGUUUUACAGUUCUACGGCUUUUCUCAGGUUUAUCUUUUAUUUUUUAAGAUUCAGCCCUAAGAUCAUGUUCUCUGUGAAUUAUUCCCUACCUUCCUCCUCUUCCCAUCUGUACCCAAGGUGGAAUAGACUUUUCUCACCUCUAUGUUCCCACCAUACCUUGUACAAACAUAUACUUGUAUUAUAGCACCUAGUGUCUUUAUUCAUCCAUUUUCUAAUAUUGCACUUAGGAUUGCAUUCCCAGCAUCAAAUGACUGACCAAUAAUAAGCACAAAACAAAUGUUCAUUGAAUAAAUGAAUAUAUUAAAUUUCAAUGGCUCUCUAAUUUCACUAGGUUGGUUCAUUAACGGAAAUAUUAACAGCAACUUAUAUGUACUUCUCCACUUGUUGCUCCAAGAGAUUUACAGCUCUAAGUAAAUGGAGAGACACCUUAGCCUAUUAGGCCUAUGAGAAUGGUCUCAUUCUGGUCUUCAUUUCUCUCCUUCCAGAAACCUCUCUGAAUGAUUUUCUACAUUCCAUUUGUAUCUUAUCCUUUUCUGUUGUUGUUGCGUAUGGGCAUUUUUUAACUAUUUGUAGAAUGUCCUUAGAAUUUGUGUGGACUUGCUCAGAUUUCACUGUUUAUCACAAUAUGCCUGGAAUCAGCUUCAUAAAAUAGGGACAGACCAUUAAAUUUGUUAAGCUGAAUAUAGUGCCCCUUCUUUUAAUGUAAGAAUGAUUUCCUAUUUAUAUCCUAAAUGACGGACUCUUUGUCUCCAGCCUCUUUUUCUGUCUUCAGAUACUACUUUGAAAACAAGAUGAAAGCCAUGGAAUCUCCCGAGAAAAAUGUACAUCUUACAGACUUUCAGUGAGUUCUGGAAUACCAGGAACCAGAGCCCACACUAAUGAACAGCAGUUUCCUAACCUAAUGCGAGAGAUUUGAGAUUUCUUCUGGCUCCCAUGAUCUUCUAAUUGUCUUCUUAGCAAGACUAAACACAUCUCCAAGAAAUGUGCACUGCCAUGAAUGUCUUCCAGCUAUCUUCUAUGACAGCACUUCCCAGUGUGUUCUGUGGAAUAAUGGUACAGGGUGAUAUUCUAUGAAGAAAAAUACGGAAAGUAAUAUACUCCACAGUCCGUAUAUUAGAUCGGACUAAUAAAAAUAAAUAUGGAAAGUAAUAUAUUCCACAGUCAUAUAUUAGAUCGCCUACACAACAGCAAUUUGAUAUAGUUUAAUAGGAUUUGAAUGAAUAAAAUUAAUGCCCACAGCUACUUUCUUCUGCCGGUAAAUAUUUUUCUGCCCAUAAUCUUGCUAAACAGAAUUCAUCUGAACUUACGUUGUUGCCAACAAAUAUACGAACAAUUAUACCUAAUCAAAAACAAAAACCAAACUGAUGUUAAAGAAAAUUAAUCAUUUGCUUUGAAUAAAUCAACUAUUAAGAAAGCUUAUAUAAUUGAGCCUAACAGUGCCAAAUCAUGUCUGAGAUGAAAUGCUGCAUGAUACAUAAUCAAACAGACAUUUGCAAGAGCUGUGGGUUGGGGGAGAGUGCAAAUGUUUCCCAGCACUCCUGUAUGUCAUGGGAGCACACAAUAAAACACUUGAAAAGCUGCAAUAAUAAAAGGUUUAAAGAGCUGCAAUAAUAGGUUUUGCACACUGUAGUGGCUACUGACACUGAGAACAUUUUAGAAGUUCAUCUCUAUCAUCCAAACACUACACACCACCAUAUCUAUCUAUUACGUUUUAAUAGGAAUUCUAUACUAAUAUUUUAUCCCUUUGCAUCUGCUCUAUUUUACUAUUUGGGUCAUAUCUCUUGUUAGAAACAAUGUUUGGCCCAUCUAUCCUCAAUAUAAAUAAAAAGCUUUUACCACAUAAACAAGGUCAGUUUGUUCUGUUUGAAAGAUGGAGUAAUGGAACUAACUGUAAGAUAUGCAAUGUAAAAUUUAUUCCCAUUUCACCUUUAUAUGAGUAGAAAUGAAAGGGUACUCAACUAAAAUAUGCGUAACAAUUAGGCUUUCUGUACUAGCCUUCAAAUAAAUAUGUGUGUACUUAUACAGAUAAUAGUGUAAAUGUAUGCUUUCUAUAGAAUGCACAGAAGAAAAUAUUUGAUGUUUUUCUUCAUGGCUUAUUUUCAUUAUUAAGUAUUUUACCAUUUGAUACAUGAAUCUGUACUUUGUUUUCAGGUAAUUGCAUAUAUCUAGUCUGCCAAUGACAGCAAUUUAUCAUUGCACAGAGUCAAAAAUGAGAUGUAAUUUUAUUGCUGCUAGUAGCUCAAAACAAGUCCUUUGGUCUGAUUUAUUUAUUUUUUUUGAGACGGAGUCUCGCUUUGUCAACCAGGCUAGAGUGUAGUGGAGCGAUCUAGGCUCACUGCAACCUCCGCCUCUCGGGUUCAAGCAAUUCUCCUGCCUCAGACUCCCGAGUAGCUGGAAUUACAGGGAUGCACCACCACACCCAGCUAAUUUUUGUGUUUUAGUAGAGAUGGGAUUUCACCAUGUUGGCCAGGCUGGUCUCGAACUCCUGACCUCAAGUGAUCUGCCUGCCUCAGCCUCCCAAAGUGUUGGGAUUACAGGUGUGAGCCACCCCGCCCAGCCUGAUAGGUAAUAUUAAGGGAAUAUUUCUCAACUUUAAUUUCAGCCACACUAUAGAAAAUAGUCCCUUGGUUUCUGGAACAUAAUUGCAUGUAGUCCAUUUCCAUACAGGAUAUUAUCCAUAUCCUAAUUUAUAUCCAUAUAAAUUUAGGAUUGGACUGGGUUACAAAAUGAGAAGUAAAAAAAAACUUUUGAAAUACUGGCAAUUUAUCUGCAGAAAAGGACACAAAUAUGUGCAUUUUUUUCUUUUGUAUCCCGAAUGCACUAAAUCAUGAACAGUGUAGCUGCAACAUUACCUGAAAAUGAAUUCUUGUGAAUAAUACUGUUCUUUAUUUUUUAUAUUUUCCAGCUUGCAUUACUAAAAUUACCUACUUUUUAAACAUUUAGACCUCAGAGAUUAUUAUUGGUGUUAAACAUGAAACGUCAGACUGAAUAUUUUAUGAAUGCAUAUUGUGUGAACAUGAAUUCAUUCUACAAAUUAGUUUUUAAUUCUUUUUUUAAGAUCUAAUAUUUAAUAAUACACUAAUUUACUUUCCUUAGCACUUAUAGAAGUACAUGACUGCUUAUUUCAAAAAAUUCUAAAUACCCUGAGCAGGUUAAGAUAGUGUCCUAAGUAAAGAAUUUCCUCAAGUCUGCUUUAUGUGCCUCAGCCAGAUUGGGAAAGACUGAGAAGUAAAGACACAGAAAGAAUUGUUUAUCUUCUUUUGCUUAUAUUUCCUGAUUUGAGUCAUCCAGAGGUGAAAGAGAUUGCCUUUUCUGCAACAGAAAAUAACUCAAUAAUGGCAAGUUGUGUAAAAGAACUAGUACGAAGCAUUGAGCCAGUUUAACAUACUGCCUAAAAACUUUUAAGUUAAUAAAAUCAAAUCCAAAUGCCAAACAUUAUCGUUGAAAGAAAAUACAUACAAAUGACACAUUAUAUUUGAGACUCUAUGUCUCCCUAAUUCAAUGAUUAGGACUUUAAGAAACUGUUCCUUAAAACAUACAGUAAGAUUUCCAAUACCUGAGAAUUUUAAAUACCACUUCUUUAUAUUUAAUAAAUAGCUUAAAAUUAUAGCAAACUGGAAUUCAGAUUCUCAUUUCUUUACCAAAUUGGCCUCAAUUUUUUUUAAAUAUAGUUGCUGUUCACCAGCUCUAAACAAUCAACAAAAAAUGCAGAACAAAAAGAAGUGGAGAGGAGUGACAAAUCACAAUUUGGUGGGAAAAGAGGAAAAGAAUGAGAAAGCAUUCGAUAUUCAUUGCCCCAAAACAAUGGAGACCUGUACACAGGCACCAUGGUAAUUACUUACAUCUUCCCUAUGUCCCACUAGUACAUAUUAAUAAUUUAGUUUCUAUUACUAGUCACUUACCUACACAGAAGAAACUGAUACAUUUUGGAAUUUAUAUGACUUAACUACAUGGCUUUUAAGAAGUAUCCUACUAUAGUUUGACUGUCUGUCCCCUCCAAAACUCAUGUUGCAAUUUAGUUGCCACUGUAACAGUAUUAAGAGAUGGGACCUUUAACAGGUGAGUAGACCAUGAGGGCUCCCCCCUCACUGGGGGACUUCUACCAUUAUAAGGGUGAGUUCAGCCACUCCUGUCCUCUCUUACCCUCCUGCCUUCACCAUGUGAUGACAUAGCAAGAAGGCCUUCACAAGAUGCCAUGCCUUGAUAUUGGACUUCCCAGACUCCAGAAGUGUGAGCCAAUAAAUUUCUGUUCAUUAUACAUUACCCAGUCUGUGAUAUUCUGAUAAAAAAGCACAAAACAGAACAUGUCCUUUGGUAAGUUAUGAAACUGCACUCUAUUCCAGGUUUCCCCUAGACAGUCUGUAAUAGUCUGUUUUAUAUUGCUAUAAAGAAAUGCCUGAAGCUGAGUAAUUUAUUAAGAAAAGAGGUUUAUUUAGCUCACAGUUCUACAGGUUGUAAAAGGAACAUGACACCAACAUCUGCCUCUGGUUAGAGCCUCAGGAAGCUUUCAAUCACAGGGAAGGUGAAGUGGGAGCAGUUAUGUCACACGGUGAGUGUGAGCAAGAGAGGUGCCAUGCUCUUUUAAACAACAGCUCUUGUGUGAACUAACAGAGUGAGAACUCACACAUUACCAUGGGGACAGCACCAAACCAUUCAUAAGGGUUCCAUCCCAUGACCGAAACACCUCCACGAGGAUCACAUUUCAACACAAGAUUUGGAGGGGACAAAGGUCCAAACUGUAGCACAGUCUCAACCCAGUUAUUUCAAUUAUCUAUUUCUAAUAAGUAAACAAGUCACCCAAUUACCAUGGUGUGAUCAUAGCUCAUUGGAGCCUCAACCUCCUGGGUUCAAGUGAUCUUCCUGCCUCAGCCACUUGAGUAGCUGAGACUACAGGCAUGCGUAACCAUGCUCGGCUAAUUUUUGUAUUUUUUGUAGACAAGGUUUCACCAUGUUGCCCAGGUUGGUGGUCUUGAACUCCUGGGCUCUAGCAAUCCUCCUGCCUCAGCCUCCCAAAGUGUUGGGAUUACAGGCAUGAACCACCCUACCCGGCCUACAGCUACUCACCUUAAUAAAACAAAUAUAUUAGCUUAGGCAAUGAUUUUAAUUUCAUUCUAUAUUUGCAACUGUAGACAUGCAAAGGGGUUAUCCAUACACAAUCAUGUGAAUGUCAGCCUACCUUAUUAUAUAGUAAAAGGCUAAUAUAAAGAAUUCUCCAUAGAAAGUGAGAAACUGUGUGAGUGGAACAUUUUAAGUAUUUGCCUUUACAUCAGUUUAAAGAUCUAGGGACACAAUUUUAAAGAAGCACUGUAAGAUUAAGGUGAGGAUAAUGACAACUGCAUUAUUUCUCUCUCCCCAAUAAGAGACAGUUGGUGACUUAGUCCUUUUGUGCUGCUGUAACAAAAUACCACAGGCUGAGUAAUUUAUAAAAACAAUAGAAAUUUAUGCUGGGCAUGGUGGCUUGCGCCUGUAAUCUCAGCUACUCAAAAGGCUGAGACAAAGGGAUUGCUUGAGGCCAGGUGUCCGAGGGCAGCUAAGACAACAUAGCAAGACCCUGUCUCUAAAAUAAAUAAGUACGCCUUACAGUUCUGGAUGCUGGGAAGUCAAGAUGAAGGCAUUAGCAGGUUUAGUGUCCGGUGAUGGUUGCUCUCUGCUUACAAGAUGGCACCCUGUUGCCACAUCCUCCAGAGGGAGGAAUACUGAGUCUUCUUCACAUGGUGGAUGAGACUGAAGAGCAAAAUGGAUCUAAGCCAGUUCCUUCCAGCCCCUUUUAUAAGGCACUAAUCCAUACAUAAGUGCAGAGCCCUCAUGACUUAAUCACUUCCCAAUACUUUAAACAAUUUCUUUAGAUUAUUUAUAAUGCCUAAUACAACGUAAACCUUAUAUAAAUAGUUAUACUUUAUUGUUUAGGGAAUAAUUACAAGAAAAAAAAAGUCUACCAUGUUCAGUACAGGUGCAACCACACAUUUUAUUUUUUCUAUAUGUUUUCGAUCCACAAUUGGUUGAACCCACAGAUGCAGAACCCACAGACAUAGAGGGCCAAUUUGUAUAGAGAGGAAGGCAACCAGACCUAAGUGGUUAAGACACCAACUUAAUUUAAAGCAAAGAUCAAAUGGUAUAAUUCAGAUGUUUCUGUAGAUAGUAAACAUCCAGUCAGAUAAUACUACAGGCAUACACUGUUUUAUUGUACUUCAUUGUACUAUACUUCAUAUAUAUUGCAUUUUUUACAAAUCGAAGGUUUGUAGCAAUCCCACACCUAGCAAGUGUAUCAACUCCAUUUUCCCAACAGCAUAUGCUCACUUCAUGUAUUCUGUCGCAUUCUGGUAAUUCUCCCAAUAUUCUGAACUUUUUCUUAACUGUUAUUUGUGUUAUAGCGAUCUCAAUCAGUGAUCUUUGAUGUUACUAUUGUUUUGGAGGCACCAUGAACUAUGCCCAUAUAAUAUAGUGAACUUAAUGGAUACAUGUGUAUGUUCUGACUGCUCCACACAUCUGCUGUUUCCUUUUCUCUCUCCUCAGGCCUUCCUAUUUCGUGAAACAGCAACACUGAAAUUAAACCAAUCACUAGCCGUAUAAUGACCUCUAAGUAUUCAAGUGAAAGGAAGAGUUGUACAUCUCUCACUUUACAUCAAAAGUUAGAAAUGAUUAAGCUUAUUGAGGACAGCAUGUUGACAGCUGAGGCAAACUAAAAGCUAGGCCUCUUGUGCCAAACAGCCAAGUUGCGAAUGCAAAGAAAAAGUUCUUAAAAGAAACUAAAAGUACUACUCCAGUGAACACAGGAAUAAGAAAGCAAAACAGCUUUACAGCAGAUAUGGAGUAAGUUUAAAUGGUCUGGAUAAAAGAUCAAACCAGUUACAACAUUCCCUUAAGCCAAAGCCUAAUCCAGAGCGGGCCCUAACUCUCUUCGAUUCUACGAAGGCUGAGAGAAACCGCAGAGGGAAACUGCAGUGGGAAACUGCAGUGGGAAGGUAGCAGAGGUUGGCUCAUGAGGUUUAAGGAAAGAAGCCAUCUCCAUAACAUAAAAGUGCAAGAUGAAGCUGUAAGUUAUCCAGAAGAUCUAGAUAAGAUGGAUGCACUAAACACUAAACAACAGAUUUUCAGUGUACAUAAAAUAGCCUUAUAUUCAAAGAAGAUGCCAUCUAGGAUUUUCAUAGCUGUAGAACGGGAAUCAAUGCCUGGCUUCCAAGCUUCAAAGGACAGGCUAUCUUGUUAGGGGUACUGCAGCUGGUGACUUAAAGUUGAAGCCAAUGCUCAUUUACAAUUCCAAAAAUCCUAGGGUCCUUAAGAAUUUUGCUAAAUGUACUCUGCCUGUGCUCUAUAGACUCUAUAGAUAGAAAAACUAUGCCUGGAUGACAGCACAUCUUUUAAAAUCAUGGUUUACUGAAGACGUUAAGUCCACCAUUCAGUAAAAGAUUUCUUUUGAAAUGCUACUGAUCAUUAACAAUGUACCUGGUCACCCAAGAACUCCAAUGGAGAUGUACAAGGAGUUGAAUUUUUUUAAUGCCUGCUAACACAUCCAUUCCAUAGCCCAUGGAUCAAGGAAUAGUUUUGACUUUCAAGUCUUAUUAUGCAAGAAUAUUUUUUGCAAGGCUAUAGCUGUCACAGUGAUUCCUCUGAUGGAUUUGGGCAAAGUAAACUGGAAACCUUCUGGAAAGGAUUCACCAUUUAAGAUGUCAUUAAGAACAUUGAUGAUUUAUGAGGGGGGUCAAAAUACCAAUAUUAACAGGAGUUUGGGAGAAGUUGAUUCCAACCCUCAUUAAUAAUUUUGAGGUGUUUAAGACUUCACUGGAGGAAAUAACUGAAUAUGUGGUAGAAAUAGGAAGAGAACUAGAAUUAGAAGUGGAACCUAAAGAUGUGACUGAAUUGCUGCAAUCUCACGAAAAAACUUGAACAGAUGAGGAGUUACUUCUUAUGCAUAAGCAAAAAUGAGGUUUCUCAAGUAAAAGCUACUCAUGGUGAAGACGCUAUGAACACUGUUGAAAUGAUAACAAAGGACUUAGAAUGCUACCUUCUUAGUUGAUAAGGCAGUGGCAGGGUUUGAGAGGACUUGAUCCCAAAUUUCAAAGUUUUACAGAGAAUAAAAUGCUAUCAAGUAGCAUCACAUGCUACACAGAAAUCUUUGGUGAAAGGAAGAGCCAAUUAAUGUAGCACACUUCACUGCUAUCUAUUAGGAGAAACUGCCA